rnacentral:rRNA from 1 species
UACGAAGGGUGCAAGCGUUACUCGGAAUUACUGGGCGUAAAGCGUGCGUAGGUGGUUUGUUAAGUCUGAUGUGAAAGCCCUGGGCUCAACCUGGGAAUUGCAUUGGAUACUGGCAGGCUAGAGUGCGGUAGAGGAUGGCGGAAUUCCCGGUGUAGCAGUGAAAUGCGUAGAGAUCGGGAGGAACACCAGUGGCGAAGGCGAUCACCUGGGGUUGUUCUGACGCUGAGGAGCGAAAGCUAGGGGAGCAAACGGG